CACUCUCUCGCCCCCUACAGGUACAACAGCCUAGAAAAAUUGGCCAGGUUUCUCAACGUGCGAAUUGUUGGCCGGAUAAAUAUUAUCACUGAUAACAUGUUAUACCUAUGUACGUAUAUUGCGAUACAAUUUCAUGGACCAACAAAAAAUUGAACGGUAUAUAGCAAAAUUUUCCGCAACUAUUUCUAUGUUCGAUUACUUUCGAGUUCAUUACAACCUAUACCUCCUGUGUUUUGUUUCACGAACUGACAAUAUGUUAAUUAUAUGAAUUUUCUAAAAAUAGUUUUCAGCUUCUUAAAUACUGGAUUUUCGCCAAUAUUACAACAUAAAUAUUAACUUAAAGAGGAUAACAGGCAGUCGAUAUCUUUUUAAUAUCGGUAUUAGAACCGAAAUUCUAUUAAGAAAUAGGGAAGUAUGCCAUUGAAAAGUAUGCCGUAAUUAUUAUUCAUGAAGUGUUAUUACUGUUAUGUUUGCUUUGAAAAACCGGAAGUAUAUUUAAUUCGCGGUGUGUGCACUGAAAAGAGGAAAGAAAUUUUUAAAAUGCGUUAUAUACAUUGUGAUAUACUAAGCUUUAACACAAAUAUAUUACACAUUCUCCGACGUAUGUUAUUUUCACACAUUUUUACCUGGAACCUAAUGAUCGGUGGAAAUGCCUCCUCUGUCGUCAUUUCCAAAUAAUAAACUGUGUAUUUCGUUUGACAGACUUUACGUGUACGUAUACUUCCUACGCUCCAUACUGAAAACAAACUAAUUGAAAAACUUGGAGUCAAGGAAGUUACAUGAUGCCACCACUUUGGAGGAAUGUACAGUAUUUCUCCAG